rnacentral:lncRNA from 1 species
AGAUAGACUAAGAUGAAAACUUUUUAAUUUACACAUGUCUACUAGUUCUCAGAUUCAAUUGCAAAUAUAAGAUUAGCAAGCUCAUGGUGGGGUCCUUGUUGCCACUGAGAUUUGGGUAGCCUGCAGAACCAUUUUGGGUCUGUGAGAAGACUUUGGAGGUGAUGCCAGAAGAUUUAGAAGUGACUAAAGAAUGUUGGCCAUGUUGUCAUUUGCUGGCCUCUGACCUCUCAGAGUCUGGGCUGCAGCUGAUGACUCAUCAAGCUAGUCACACGUAGGAGAUGAUCACAUGGUGCUAAAUUGAGACUCGUGCACAUGCUCAGUUCUUCCAGAACCCACCCCAGCACACUUUCUGCUUCAAGCAGUCCUUUGACUGCAUGGUUCCACAGCACUUAAGGUCAAGGGAUGCUACCAGCUUCCUGCUUUUGACAGCUCUGGUAAAAGGCAUUCUAGUAGCAAGUUCCCAGUUGUCUCUUGGAGAAGAUGCACAAACUAGGAUGGGAAGUGGCCAUGAGGUUCCUACAAACGACAAUGGAGCAAUGCCGAAGACCAGAUUCCUCCUCUGUGAUCCCGAGACUCAGAGUGCUCCAUCCAAGCACUUCCCUGGCCUGGUAUCUACCCAGAAAGCCAGCAUCUCUAUCCUUAUCUACUGCUUUGAAAAUAUCAACUCUUCAUUCUCAAUAUAUUAUCAAUACCACCAUCACUUUGAGCUGUCUUAUGCAUCAAAACUUAUACUGAACAAGGAGGUCCAGGCUGCAAAAGAUAUUUUUGUACCUGUCUUAUAUGGGUUUUUUUUCCAGUGUGUAGUUCUGGCUGUCCUGGAACUCACAGAGAUCCUCCUGCCUCUGCCUCCCAAGUGCUGGGAUUAAAGACGUGCACCACCACCGCCUGGCUUAACCAGCUCUUGUAUACUAGCUUAAUGGCCAGCUGUGGUCUUUGUCAUUGUGGUUGUCCUCCUAUGACAGCCUAAGCGAAGCAGGGUCAGGUCUACAUGGUGCUCGGUUCCCACUGCCCCCAGGUCACGCUCUAUUCCUUUCCUUCCUUUAUUUUCUUCAAGUAUUUGAAGUAAUUUUUUUAGUAUAUCUAUGCAGAUGAAGAAUUACCUUGUGCUUUUCUGAAAUGUAUUUGUCUUCUAUUUUAAAGGAUUCUUCUCCCAACAUAAUUAGAGGUGGGCAUACUUUCCCAUUAAGUGUUUAAAACACACUCUUCCAUUAUCUCAUUACUGCCUGAGAGGCUAACUGUUGGUUUUACUGUCGAUCCUUUGAAGGGAAUGGAUCUUUCCCUCCUGGCUGCUCGAAAGGUUCCUUUAUUAAUCCAUCUAACUAUGGUGUGUCCAGGUGUGCAUUUCUUACUGUUUCUGAUAUUUGAAGGUUUUAAGGAUCUUACACCAGGGACUAAUUUCUCUAUUCGCACCUGUAUCUCAGAUGCUCAGUUUUCUGCCUUCAUGGGACUCCAGUUACAUAUGUUGUAACUGCAUCCUAAGUUUUGUGAAUGUGUGUUUCUCAUUGAUCAAAGUGCUUCAUAAUUGAUAUCUUUACUUUGACAAUUCCCCCUUCACAGAUGCUCUUCUGUGUCUACUCUUUUAUAAACCCUUUCCAUUAAAUUCUGUAUUGGUACCACCCAAUUGUGGGAAUGGCAGUAAGAGAAGCACUUCCUACUGCUUGCCAGGCAUGUGUUGGAACCAUGGAGUCUAUCAUCUGGAGCCACAGUACAUCCCCAAAGUGCAUUGCCAUCACCACUUUACAAUUAAGAAAGGUUAAAUUUUCUUGAAUUAAAAAAUUAUUCAUUUGUUACUAUGUCAGUAUAUGGGACAUGUUAGAGGAGGACAUAUGUGCCACUGGGCACAUGCCAUGGCAUGCAUGUGUAGGUCAAAGGGCAACUUUAUGAAAUCCAUUCUGUCCUUCCAUCUUUAUGUGGAUUCCUGGGAUUAAAGGCAGGUCAUUAGGCUCUGUGACAAGCUCUUUUACCUGAGGAACCAUCUUAUCAGUCCCAAACCAUAGACCAUAGUUCUCUGGUGUAAGUUCCCAUUUAAAAAUCUAUUUUUAUGUCUAUUUUCGAGCUCAUGCCGGAUAACUCCAAUAUUGGGGUCAUCUGUGCAUCUUCUAUUUUAGUCUUAUUUUUCUCUUGAUUCUUAGUCACUUGGUUCUGACCUCUGAUGUCCCUAGCCAUUUUGGACUGACAGCACUUUGGUGAGAGCUCUGAAUGGGUGUGGGGUGGUUUUAUUGUCUCCCAGACAAUUAUUGGAUGUCUUCCUGGCAGGAAGCUGGAGCAUAGACAGUUACCACGCUCCAGCCCUGGAGUGAACAGGAUUACUGACAUGCUGGCUUGGUGCGUUAGGUUAUGGGAGUCCCACCCAGUCACAGUGAGCACUGCUUGACGGGGCAAUGUAUAAUGCUGACUGUAUGUGAACCCGUGCUGCUGGUCAUCACAUACAUAAUUCUGGAGAGUCACUCUCUGCCAUGACUCUCAAA